UACGGGGGGGGGGCAAGCGUUGUUCGGAAUUACUGGGCGUAAAGGGCUCGUAGGCGGCCAACUAAGUCAUACGUGAAAUCCCUCGGCUUAACCGGGGAACUGCGUCUGAUACUGGAUGGCUUGAGAUUGGGAGAGGGAUGCGGAAUUCCAGGUGUAGCGGUGAAAUGCGUAGAUAUCUGGAGGAACACCGGUGGCGAAGGCGGCAUCCUGGACCAACACUGACGGCUGAGGAGCGAAAGCCAGGGGAGCAAACGGG
rnacentral:rRNA from 1 species